AGCGAACGCUGGCGGCAGGCCUAACACAUGCAAGUCGAACGGGAUCAGGGAGCUUGCUCCCUGUGAGAGUGGCGCACGGGUGCGUAACACGUAUGCAACCUACCUUCAACUGGGGGGUAGCCUUCCGAAAGGAAGAUUAAUACCGCAUAACAUAAUUGAAUGGCAUCAUUUGAUUAUCAAACGUCAGGGUUGAAGAUGGGCAUGCGUCCGAUUAGCUAGUUGGUGUGGUAACGGCACACCAAGGCGACGAUCGGUAGGGGAUCUGAGAGGAUGACCCCCCACACUGGUACGGAGACACGGACCAGACUCCUCCGGGAGGCAGCAGUAAGGAAUAUUGGUCAAUGGACGCAAGUCUGAACCAGCCAUGCCGCGUGCAGGAAGACGGUCCUCUGGAUUGUAAACUGCUUUUGUUAGGGAAGAAACCCUCGGAUGCGUCCGGGGCUGACGGUACCUAAAGAAUAAGGAUCGGCUAACUCCGUGCCAGCAGCCGCCGUAACAC
rnacentral:rRNA from 1 species